AACGAACGCUGGCGGCAGGCUUAAGACAUGCAAGUCGAACGAGAACCAGGAGCUUGCUCCUGGGGACAGUGGCAGACGGGUGAGUAACGCGUGGCAACCUACCCUUCAGUACGGGACAACAGUUGGAAACGACUGCUAAUACCGUAUACGUCCUCCGGGAGAAAGAUUUAUCGCUGAUGGAUGGGGCCGCGUUAGAUUAGCUAGAUGGUGGGGUAAUGGCCUACCAUGGCGACGAUCUAUAGCGGGUCUGAGAGGAUGAUCCGCCACACUGGGACUGAGACACGGCCCAGACUCCUACGGGAGGCAGCAGUCGGGAAUAUUGGACAAUGGGCGCAAGCCUGAUCCAGCCAUGCCGCGUGAAUGAUGAAGGCCUUAGGGUUGUAAAAUUCUUUCGCUAGGGAAGAUAAUGACGGUACCUAGUAAAGAAGCCCCGGCUAACUCCG
rnacentral:rRNA from 1 species